AAUGAACGCUGGCGGCAGGCCUAACACAUGCAAGUCGAACGGAUCCUUCGGGAUUAGUGGCGGACGGGUGAGUAACGCGUGGGAACAUACCCUUUGGUACGGAAUAGCCUCGGGAAACUGGGAGUAAUACCGUAUGUGGUCGAGAGACGAAAGAUUUAUCGCCAAAGGAUUGGCCCGCGUUGGAUUAGGUAGUUGGUGGGGUAAUGGCCUACCAAGCCGACGAUCCAUAGCUGGUUUGAGAGGAUGAUCAGCCACACUGGGACUGAGACACGGCCCAGACUCCUACGAGAGGCAGCAGUGGGGAAUCUUAGACAAUGGGGGAAACCCUGAUCAAGCCAUGCCGCGUGAUCGAUGAAGGCCUUAGGGUUGUAAAGAUCUUUCAGGUGGGAAGAUAAUGACUGUGCCACCAGAAGAAGCCCCGGCUAACUCCGUGCCAGCCGCCGCUGUAA
rnacentral:rRNA from 1 species